UACGUAGGGUGCAAGCGUUGUCCGGAAUUAUUGGGCGUAAAGAGCUCGUAGGCGGCUUGUCGCGUCGGCUGUGAAAACCUGGGGCUCAACCCCGGGCCUGCAGCCGAUACGGGCAAGCGUAGAAUUCGGUGAGGGGAGACUGGAAUUCCUGGUGUAGCGGUGAAAUGCGCAGAUAUCAGGAGGAACACCGGUGGCGAAGGCGGGUCUCUGGGCCGAAUGAUGCGCUGAGGAGCGAAAGCGUGGGGAGCGAACAGG
rnacentral:rRNA from 1 species